UACGAAGGGUGCGAGCGUUGUUCGGAUUUACUGGGCGUAAAGGGUUCGUAGGCGGGAACGUAAGUCGAAUGUGAAAACCCCGGGCUUAACCUGGGACGUGCAUUCGAAACUAUAUUUCUUGAGUUUUGGAGAGGGUGGUGGAAUUGCUGGUGUAGGAGUGACAUCCGUAGAGAUCAGCAGGAACGCCGGAGGCGAAAGCGACCACCUGGCCAAGGACUGACGCUGAGGAACGAAAGCGUGGGGAGCAAACAGG
rnacentral:rRNA from 1 species